AUUCACUCAACACCCAGGAUCAUGUGAUCUGUUGUAAGGUCAAAUGACUAAUCAGGAAUUGAUAAAUGUUUGCUGGCUGCAAGGCAGACAUCUUUUCUGUUGAUGCUAGACGCGGUUGUGUGAGUUGGACUCUCAUUUCAUGCAGGGUAAUUCUAGAAGUGCGUGUCUACUCUUCACGGGGGACACAGGCGUCUGUAUGGAAGUUUAACCUUUAUGUGAUCACCUCCAGUGUGACUUGAGCUGCUGGACUGCAAUGCACUGGUAAAUGCCUCAAUAUGUACAUUUUCCAUUGAAUGUGUUAUACUUGCAUUGAGACAUGUUUUAACAACUUUCUCUGUCCGUAGCAACGGAACGUUCCCCUUUUCUCUGCAUGUGUUAAUGCGCUGUGGGACAGUUGAGCAUACUGAAAAGUAGGCCUAUAUUUUUAGUUAUGUUUGAGUUGAUAAUGCUAAUGCUGUUUAAUGAGGUUGGUAACUAACAUGCUUGGUUUCUCUUGAAAAGGGACCAGGCCAGCCACUGUUUCCAUGUGUUUUAUAAGCAUUUCUUUAUUGGUUCCUGUUGUUUGAUUUUUUUUGUUAUUGUUUGGUUACCUGUAAUUUUGCCACUCAUGUGCCAAAUUCAUACUAGCAUUUUAUUUUAUUUUUCUUGACUAAGUGUUGCCUUUUAUGCUGGUGGUUCUCCUCCCUAACCAUGUCUUUUGCGUAGGUUAUCCUUGUACAAGGCCGGAUCUAUACGGAUGCUUUGCCCCUUCUCUUCAGGGGACCACACUGGGAGAGACACUGUAUUGGGGCCUCCUGAGCAGGGGUUUUGCAUUGGCUGAUCCGACCUUCCUAGAUUGAGGAAAAUCCACCAGUCAUUUAUCCCAGAAUUUUUAAGAUCUAUUUUAAUAACUUUUCUACGUCUUUUUGCACAAAAAAUAUGUAAUAAUUUUGGAAUAUAUUUACAUAUUUGACUCUUGUUGACUGUCCCUUUGCGGGGAUAAACAUAUUAUUAGCCACACUACAUUCACGAGAAGAUCUGUGGUUCCUCCUGCCCAUCAUCAGG